GGAGGCUCGAAGCGAUACUGACGUGCAAAUCGUUCGUCUGACUUGGGUAUAGGGGCGAACACCUAAUCGAACCAUCUAGUAGCUGGUUCCCUCCGAAGUUUCCCUCAGGAUAGCUGGAGCCCAUUACGAGUUCUAUCAGGUAAAGCCAAUGAUUAGAGGCAUUGGGGACGCAACGUCCUCGACCUAUUCUCAAACUUUAAA
rnacentral:ncRNA from 1 species